rnacentral:lncRNA from 1 species
CCCAAAAAAAAAUAAGGUGGUCUCAGGUGCUUGUUUUUAAGCAAUGAUGGCUUUCAUUAUACUGCAUGCAUUGAAGACCUAUUGGUGACCUUCUGCUAUUGUCUGUUCUAUGGUCGAGUUGUUGUCUCUUUCACACAUUCCCUAUUUCCAUUCUCAAUUUAAUUUUUUAGUAUGUAUAGUUGUUUUAUCAAAAUUCACGCUAAAUCAACACAAUUUUUUUUGAAAAUAUAUGGAUUUUGUCCAGUGUCCCAUCGUGAUACAUGAUUAUUAAC